rnacentral:rRNA from 1 species
UACGGAGGGUGCAAGCGUUAUCCGGAUUUACUGGGUUUAAAGGGUGCGUAGGUGGGUAGGUAAGUCAGUGGUGAAAUCUCCGGGCUUAACCCGGAAACUGCCAUUGAUACUAUUUAUCUUGAAUAUUGUGGAGGUCAGCGGAAUAUGUCAUGUAGCGGUGAAAUGCUUAGAGAUGACAUAGAACACCAAUUGCGAAGGCAGCUGGCUACACAUAUAUUGACACUGAGGCACGAAAGCGUGGGGAUCAAACAGG